AUGCUCAAAGCAACCAUGAUAAGCAAUUCCAUAGCACAUUCAGCAUUCCAGUAUUCACAUUUUGCUCGCUUUUACAUAUCUACUGGUGGGUGCAUUGUAUCCCUAGAGUUAUUCAACCAAAUCCAACAAGUUUGGGCUCAAACUUACAGAUUCAGAUGCGUAUACAGGCACCAUAAACAGGACAGCUAUGAUCCAUUUCUGCUCCUGCAGAACUCUCAGCAAGAUAAAUUUGUUCAAUCAGAACAACGGCAAGCUAUAAAUAAUGGCUACACUGGAGACAUUUGGUCCACCAGCAGAAAGAGGGGAUACUGCGACAUGAACCCGCCGCACUCACCGAAGGGUUUCUGUACGAUCUAA
rnacentral:rRNA from 1 species